AAAGAAGUUGAGGGUGUACUAUAACAAAUGUUAAACCUAUAUUUUCCAAAUUGUUAAGUGCGUAUUAGAGAAAUGUUCUUGAUGUAAAUGAAAAUGUAGAAUGAAAACCAAAACAAGCAAAUAAAAAUAAAAAAACCAAUGAAAACGAAAACAAGAAACAAAGAAAUACAAAAGAAUCCAUUGAAAAUCAAGAAAGAAAUAAAAAGCC
rnacentral:lncRNA from 1 species